CACCCUCCAUCCCAGACUACACCAUGAGGAUAGCAAUGUUGAAGACUGAGGAGGAAAGGAGGCAGGCAAGAAAAACAACUUGCCCAGAAGCAUGAUUCAGAGGAUUAUAGUCCAGGUGGCAGCAUCUCCGACCCAGGGAUAGAACCUGUCGGGAAGAAGGCAAAGAAGUUAAGAGUUCCUAUGCAGAAAUUAAUGAAAAGAGACAUCAGACCAGAUUUUUCAAAGUGGUCCACACUAGACUCUCAAAUUUUAAGACUUCAUAGCCAAAAUCUAAGUAUAAAGAGAUCAUUUGUAUUAUUUCCAGAUGAAGACACAAUUAACAUCAUUGUGAAUGAAACCAACCGUUAUGCAUCUCGAAAGAAGCUAGACCUUGGGCUCACUUUAAAAAACUGAAGUAAGUUUGGGGUGUUCUUAUUUUAAAUGAAUGUGUUCUGUAUUAAAAGAAGAGGAUGCUUUUGGAAAACUUUCCAGAUAUACAUCAUAGCUUAAUCACAAAUGCAAUGAGAAGAGACAGGUUCAAAAGUCUUUUUCAACUUCUGAUGAUCAUAGCCAUAUUGAUGAAGUGAAAAAAAUUAACAGUAAUGAUGUCUUUCACUACCAAAAUAAGUUAAAAAUUCAAAUUAUAUACACCCUAACAAAAGUUCUACAUCUUUGACAAGUCCAUGAGUAUUUUGGG
rnacentral:lncRNA from 1 species